GAACGCCACGGACCUCAGCCCAUCCAUAUUGAAGAGGACAAAGUUGUCUCGCGUCGCAGUCGUGAGCUAAUGGAAGAUUUGCAAAUGUGCCGUGACACACUGCGCGUGAUUACUGCUCCGCUAAGAGUUGCUUGACAAGUGCGCCGGCCCCUCACCUCUGCAUGCAACCCACCAGAUAAGUGAAAUGAGCGGCGUCACUAAAAGGCAUGAAAAUUCAAGUAGUUCCAGGGACACGGGUGGAUCUGGAGCCGAUCCCAGCCGACAUAAGGUGACGGCAGGGUACAACCUGGAAAACUUCUCAGUUCAUGACAGGGCUGACAUAUAAGGACACACAACCAAUUACACCUAUGGACAAUUUUUAGAGUAUCCAUUGAAACUAACUUUUUUCAUGUCUUUGGACUGUGAUAGGAAGCCGGAGUACCCAGAGAAAACCCACACAGGGGGAGGGAGAACAUGCAAACUCCGCACAGAAAGGCCCUGCCUUGUCUCGAACCCAGGUCCUUCUUCCUGUGGGACAACAGUACUAUCCACUGGGUCGCCAUCCUGCCCUCAUUUGCACCAUGGUUCACUUUUUCCCAGUUGUGUCAUUUUUUUUUGUAAAUUUUUGGAAAAUCUGCAGAUUCAGUCUUUGAGAAGAAGAACCCCAUUUACAACACUUGCAUUUUGAAACCAGUUCAUUUCAAUGGGUGAUCAGUGGAUUUAAUCACA